CCUACGGGGGGCUGCAGUGGGGAAUAUUGGACAAUGGGCGAAAGCCUGAUCCAGCCAUGCCGCGUGUGUGAAGAAGGCCUUCGGGUUGUAAAGCACUUUCAGUGGGGAAGAAAGCCUUGGGGCUAAUACCCUCGAGGAAGGACAUCACCCACAGAAGAAGCACCGGCUAACUCCGUGCCAGCAGCCGCGGUAAUACGGAGGGUGCGAGCGUUAAUCGGAACUACUGGGCGUAAAGCGCGCGUAGGCGGUCUGAUAAGCCGGUUGUGAAAGCCCCGGGCUCAACCUGGGAACGGCAUCCGGAACUGUCAGGCUAGAGUGCAGGAGAGGAAGGUAGAAUUCCCGGUGUAGCGGUGAAAUGCGUAGAGAUCGGGAGGAAUACCAGUGGCGAAGGCGGCCUUCUGGACUGACACUGACGCUGAGGUGCGAAAGCGUGGGUAGCAAACAGGAUUAGAUACCCUUGUAGUC
rnacentral:rRNA from 1 species